rnacentral:rRNA from 1 species
GAUGAACGCUAGCGGCAGGCCUAAUACAUGCAAGUCGAACGAGAUUAAGAGGCUUGCUUCUUAUGAAAGUGGCGCACGGGUGCGUAACGCGUAUGCAACCUACCUUAAUCAGGGGGAUAGCCCGAAGAAAUUCGGAUUAAGACCGCAUAAAAACACAGGAUAGCAUUAUCCAAUGUUCAAAUAUUUAUAGGAUUAUGAUGGGCAUGCGUGUCAUUAGCUAGUUGGCGGGGUAACGGCCCACCAAGGCGACGAUGACUAGGGGAUCUGAGAGGAUGACCCCCCACACUGGUACUGAGACACGGACCAGACUCCUACGGGAGGCAGCAGUAAGGAAUAUUGGUCAAUGGAGGGAACUCUGAACCAGCCAUGCCGCGUGCAGGAAGACAGCCCUCUGGGUCGUAAACUGCUUUUAUUCGGGAAUAAACCUUUCUACGUGUAGGAAGCUGAAUGUACCGAAGGAAUAAGGAUCGGCUAACUCCGUG